UACGUAGGGAGCAAGCGUUGUCCGGAAUCAUUGGGCGUAAGAGCGCGCAGGCGGUCGUUCAAGUCGCGUGUGAAAGCCCCCGGCUCAACUGGGAGGGUCACGCGAUACUGAUCGACUGGAAGGCAGGAGAGGGUAGUGGAAUUCCCGGUGUAGUGGUGAAAUGCGUAGAUAUCGGGAGGAACACCAGUGGCGAAGGCGACUACCUGGCCUGUUCUUGACGCUGAGGCGCGAAAGCUAGGGGAGCAACGGG
rnacentral:rRNA from 1 species